rnacentral:rRNA from 1 species
GUAGGUGGCAAGCGUUGUCCGGAAUUAUUGGGCGUAAAGCGCGCGCAGGCGGUCCUUCAAGUCUGAUGUGAAAGCCCACGGCUCAACCGUGGAGGGUCAUUGGAAACUGGGGGACUUGAGUACAGAAGAGGAAAGCGGAAUUCCAGGUGUAGCGGUGAAAUGCGUAGAGAUUUGGAGGAACACCAGUGGCGAAGGCGGCUUUCUGGUCUGUAACUGACGCUGAGGCGCGAAAGCGUGGGGAGCAAACAGGGAUUAGAUACCCUGGUAGUCCACGCCGUAAACGAUGAGUGCUAAGUGUUAGGGGGGUUUCCGCCCCCUUAGUGCUGCAGCUAACGCAUUAAGCACUCCGCCUGGGGAGUACGGCCGCAAGGCUG